rnacentral:lncRNA from 1 species
CUGUUUUCUGUUUUUGUAUUUCUAUGUUUUGGCCGGGUACAGGUCUCAAUCAGGGACAGCGGUCUAUCGUUGUCUCUGAUUGGAAAUCAUACUUAGGCAGCCUUUUCCCUUUUGUCAUUGUGGGAAGUUGUCUUUGUUGGGGGCACAAUAUCCUUUGUAAGCGUCAUGGUUUUGUUAUAUCUUGUUUUGUUGGUGACAUUUUAACAAAUAAAAUAAAAUGUACGCUCAUCACGCUGCACCUUGGUCUUCCUUGAACGACGGCCGUGACAGAACUUCCCACCACAAACGGACCAAGCAGCGUGGUAGGGGGAGCAGCGUCUUCAGGAGGACUGGACAUGGGAGGACAUCCUGGACGGCAAAGGAUCCUGGACAUGGGAGGAGAUCCUGGCCGGAAGGGAUCGCCUUCCAUGGGAACAGGUGGAAGCAGCUAGGAAGGCGGAGGCAGCGAGUAAAGGGGCCCAGCGUUGUCUCCACGGUGACUCCAGUGCAUGUUCACAGCCCGGUGCGCAACAUCCCAGCUCCCCGCAUCUGCCGGGCUAGGGUGAGCAUCCAGCCAGGACGGAUGGUGCCGGCUCAGCGCGCCUGGUCUCCAGUGCGUCUCUUCGGCCCAGGAUAUGCUGCGCCGGCUCUGCGCACUGUGUCUCCGGUGUGUCUGCACAGCCCAGUACGUCCUGUGCCAGCACCCCGCAUUUGCAGGGCGAAGAUAACCAUCCAGUCAGGACGGGACGUGCAGGCUCUACACUCGAGACCUCCAGUGCGCCUCCACGGCCCAGUGUAUCCGGUGCCUCCGCCAAGAACCAAGCCUCCAGUAUGUCUUCCCAGCCUGGUGAGCCCUGUGGCAGCUCCACCCACCAGGCUGCCCAUACGUCUCCUCACUCCAGUGAUGAUCCAUGGCACGAAGCCUUCAGUGAUGAUCCAUGGCAUGAAGCCUCCAGUGAUGAUCCAUGGCACGAAGCAUCCAGUGAUGAUCCGUGGCAAGAAGCCUCCAGUGAUGAUCCAUGGCAAGAAGCCUGCGGUGAUGAUCCAUGGCAAGAAGCCUCCAGUGAUGAUCCAUGGCACAAAGCCUCCAGCGACGGCUUCCAGUCCGGGGCCUCCAACGACGGCCUCCAGUCCGGAGCCCCCAGCGACGGCCUUCAAUCCGGAGCCCCCAGCGAGGGUUCCCAGUCCAGGGCCCGCAAGGAGGGUCCCCAGUCC